rnacentral:rRNA from 1 species
AUAGAUUAAGUUAUUAAGGGCGCACGGUGGAUGCCUUGGCACUAGAAGCCGAUGAAGGACGUUACUAACGACGAUAUGCUUUGGGGAGCUGUAAGUAAGCUUUGAUCCAGAGAUUUCCGAAUGGGGAAACCCAACAUGAGUUAUGUCAUGUUAUCGAUAUGUGAAUACAUAGCAUAUCAGAAGGCACACCCGGAGAACUGAAACAUCUUAGUACCCGGAGGAAGAGAAAGAAAAUUCGAUUCCCUUAGUAGCGGCGAGCGAAACGGGAAGAGCCCAAACCAACAAGCUUGCUUGUUGGGGUUGUAGGACACUCUAUACGGAGUUACAAAGGACGACAUUAGACGAAUCAUCUGGAAAGAUGAAUCAAAGAAGGUAAUAAUCCUGUAGUCGAAAAUGUUGUCUCUCUUGAGUG